rnacentral:rRNA from 1 species
AGGAAUUGGCGGGGGAGCACAACAACGGGUGGAGCCUGCGGUUUAAUUGGACUCAACGCCGGAAAACUCACCAGGGGAGACAGCAAUAUGUAGGUCAAGCUGAAGACUUUACCUGAAUCGCUGAGAGGAGGUGCAUGGUCGUCGCCAGUUCGUACUGUGAAGCAUCCUGUUAAGUCAGGCAACGAGCGAGACCCGUGCCCACAGUUGCCGGCAUUAUCUCUGGAUAGAUGGGUACUCUGUGGGGACCGCUGAUGUGAAAUCAGAGGAAGGUGCGGGCUACGGUAGAUCAGUAUGCCCCGAAUCCCUUGGGCUACACGCGGGCUACAAUGGACGGGACAAUGGGAAACAAAUCCGAAAGGACAAGUAAAUCUCACAAACCCGUUCGAAGUUCGGAUCGAGGGUUGAAACCCACCCUCGUGAAGCUGGAAUCCGUAGUAAUCGCGUUUCAACAUAGCGCGGUGAAUACGUCCCUGCUCCUUGCACACACCGC